UACAGAGGUUUCAAGCGUUGUUCGGAUUCAUUGGGCGUAAAGGGUGCGUAGGUGGCGUCGUAAGUCGGGUGUGAAAUUUCGGAGCUUAACUCCGAGACUGCAUUCGAUACUGCGGUGCAUGAGGACUGGAGAGGAGACUGGAAUUUACGGUGUAGCAGUGAAAUGCGUAGAGAUCGUAAGGAAGACCAGUGGCGAAGGCGGGUCUCUGGACAGUUCCUGACACUGAGGCACGAAGGCCAGGGGAGCAAACGGG
rnacentral:rRNA from 1 species